AAGGUAGAGCUGCGCAGCGCCCCUUCAGCGAAGCGGGAGGAGGAUGGAGCCCCUUCUGUUCCUUCUCCAGCUUCGCUGAAGGGGCGCUGCGCAGCUCUCCCUC
rnacentral:miRNA from 1 species